GAUGAACGCUGGCGGCGUGCCUAAUACAUGCAAGUCGAGCGAACGGACGAGAAGCUUGCUUCUCUGAUGUUAGCGGCGGACGGGUGAGUAACACGUGGAUAACCUACCUAUAAGACUGGGAUAACUUCGGGAAACCGGAGCUAAUACCGGAUAAUAUUUUGAACCGCAUGGUUCAAAAGUGAAAGACGGUCUUGCUGUCACUUAUAGAUGGAUCCGCGCUGCAUUAGCUAGUUGGUAAGGUAACGGCUUACCGAGGCAACGAUGCAUAGCCGACCUGAGAGGGUGAUCGGCCACACUGGAACUGAGACACGGUCCAGACUCCUACGGGAGGCAGCAGUAGGGAAUCUUCCGCAAUGGGCGAAAGCCUGACGGAGCAACGCCGCGUGAGUGAUGAAGGUCUUCGGAUCAUAAAACUCUGUUAUUAGGGAAGAACAUAUGUGUAAGUAACUGUGCACAUCUUGACGGUACCUAAUCAGAAAGCCACGGCUAACUACGUG
rnacentral:rRNA from 1 species